GCGCGUGAAGCUCAAAUGGAUUGAGCGUCGGCGUCCGAAGCCGAAGGCUGUGGGUUCGAGCCCCAUCGCGCGCUCCA
rnacentral:tRNA from 1 species